CGCGUCACUUUCCCGCGACUCAGCCUCCAUAGCACUACAGCAUUGGGAAUGAUGCACAACAGCGACCCUACUUCCUGGGGAUUUUCAAGAAAAACAACUGACAAGUCGUUAUUGAGAGCGUUCUGACAUACUGUCACUGUAUGGUAUACCAUUUGCUCCACAGCAGACAGGAAAGCCCUUCAGAGGAUUAUCAACACCUCCCAAAUAUCAGCUGUUUAUUACUCUCCCUGAAAGAACUAUUAGGCUCUCACUGCUACAGCAGAGCAAACAUCAUGAAACACAAAAACCACCCUGGACACCAUCUGUUUCACCUUCUACCCUCGUGUAGAUGCUUCAGGUCCAGCACAUCACGCACAAACAGACUCAGGAACUGUUUUUACAUCAUUAAAAAACUGAACACCAAGAAACACCAUCAGUGAAUGCUUAGAACUAUCUGCACUACACACACUUGCGUUUAUACACUUCACAGACAUCUACCUUGUAUUUAUUUAUUCCCAACCACAAUCUGUAUAAAGACUUUGAAUAUGCAACUUCAUUGUACUCUGUGCAAUGGCAAUAAAGCUCUCUGUCUAUCUAUCUAUCCAUCUAUUCA